AUGGAGGGGGAUAACUACUGGAAACGGUAGCUAAUACCGCAUAACGUCGCAAGACCAAAGAGGGGGACCUUCGGGCCUCUUGCCAUCGGAUGUGCCCAGAUGGGAUUAGCUUGUUGGUGGGGUAACGGCUCACCAAGGCGACGAUCCCUAGCUGGUCUGAGAGGAUGACCAGCCACACUGGAACUGAGACACGGUCCAGACUCCUACGGGAGGCAGCAGUGGGGAAUAUUGCACAAU
rnacentral:rRNA from 1 species